UACGGAGGGUGCAAGCGUUAAUCGGAAUUACUGGGCGUAAAGGGUGCGUAGGCGGUUUAAUAAGUUAAGUGUGAAAGUCCUGGGCUUAACCUGGGGAGGUCACUUAAGACUGUUAGACUGGAGUAUGGGAGAGGGUAGUGGAAUUUCCGGUGUAGCGGUGAAAUGCGUAGAGAUCGGAAGGAACACCAGUGGCGAAGGCGGCUACCUGGCCCAAUACUGACGCUGAGGCACGAAGGCCAGGGGAGCAAACGGG
rnacentral:rRNA from 1 species